CAGUCGCCACGGUAAUACGUAGGUGGCGAGCGUUGUCCGGAAUCAUUGGGCGUAAAGGGAGCGCAGGCGGGCAUGUAAGUCUUUCUUAAAAGUUCGGGGCUCAACCCCGUGAUGGGAAAGAAACUACAUGUCUUGAGUACAGGAGAGGAAAGCGAAAUUCCCAGUGGAGCGGUGAAAUGCGUAGAUAUUGGGAGGAACACCAGUGGCGAAGGCGGCUUUCUGGACUGCAACUGACGCUGAGGCUCGAAAGCCAGGGGAGCGAACGGGAUUAGAUACCCCCGUAGUCCCUGUCUCUUAUACA
rnacentral:rRNA from 1 species